CGAAAGGAACAGUUAAAUGACAGUACAGCUCCACAAAAAUGCACAUCAUGCAGUGCUUUAAAAGAAAAACUGAAGCAGAUGGAGGAAGACAACAGAAGACUAGUUCUUCGCUUGGACACCAUAAAUGAGUUGAAAAGUAUGUUGUGUGAGCUUAAGG